GCCCUCGUAGCUCAAUGGUAGAGCGCGUCACUAGUAGUACUCAAAAUCGGGUUCGACCCAGGAGUGUAGUAAUGACGAGGUUGCCGGUUCGAUUCCGUCCGAGGGCA